GACGAACCGUGCGAACGUUAUUCGGAAUCACUGGGCUUAAAGCGCGUGUAGGCGGAUGGGUACGUCGGUCGCUGAAAGCCCCCGGCUCAACCGGGGAAUGGGCGCCGGAAACGACCCGUCUGGAGGGACGUAGGGGGACCUGGAACUUCCGGUGGAGCGGUGAAAUGCGUUGAGAUCGGAAGGAACGCCCGUGGCGAAAGCGAGGUCCUGGACGUCUACUGACGCUGAGACGCGAAAGCUAGGGGAGCGAACGGG
rnacentral:rRNA from 1 species